UGCCUGUCUAAGUAUGAACGCUUCUUACUGUGAAACUGCGAAUGGCUCAUUAAAUCAGUUAUAGUUUAUUUGAUGGUCGUUUGCUACAUGGAUAACCGUGGUAAUUCUAGAGCUAAUACAUGCAGAAGGUCCCGACUCCUGGAAGGGACGUAUUUAUUAGAUCCAAAACCAGCGCGGGUUGCCUUCACGGGCGCCCGGUACCUGGGUGAUUCAUGAUAACUUCUCGAAUCGCACGGCCCUCGCGCCGGCGAUGGUCCAUUCAAAUUUCUGCCCUAUCAACUUUCGAUGGUACGGUAGUGGCCUACCAUGGUUGCAACGGGUGACGGAGAAUUAGGGUUCGAUUCCGGAGAGGGAGCCUGAGAAACGGCUACCACAUCCAAGGAAGGCAGCAGGCGCGCAAAUUACCCAAUCCCGACUCGGGGAGGUAGUGACAAUAAAUAACAAUGCCGGGCUCUUGUAGUCUGGCAAUUGGAAUGAGUCCAAUCUAAACCCCUUAACGAGGAACAAUUGGAGGGCAAGUCUGGUGCCAGCAGCCGCGGUAAUUCCAGCUCCAAUAGCGUAUAUUAAAGUUGUUGCAGUUAAAAAGCUCGUAGUUGGAUUUCGGGGCGGCCCGGCCGGUCCGCCGCAAGGCGAGUACUGGUCGGGCGCCCUUCCUCUCGAAGGCUUCGACUGCUCUUGAUUGUGGUGGUCGAGGAGUUCGGGACGUUUACUUUGAAAAAAUUAGAGUGUUCAAGGCAGGCCGUGGCCUGAAUACAUUAGCAUGGAAUAAUGGAAGAGGACCUCGGUCCUAUUUUGUUGGUUUCCAGGGCCGAAGUAAUGAUUGAGAGGGACAGUUGGGGGCAUUCGUAUUUAAUUGUCAGAGGUGAAAUUCUCGGAUUUAUGAAAGACGAACAAGUGCGAAAGCAUUUGCCAAGGAUGUUUUCAUUAAUCAAGAACGAAAGUUGGGGGUUCGAAGACGAUCAGAUACCGUCGUAGUCCCAACCAUAAACUAUGCCGACUAGGGAUCGGCGGAUGUUAGCGUCUGACUCCGUCGGCACCUUACGAGAAAUC
rnacentral:rRNA from 1 species